ACAAGUUUCAGGACAUAGCAGAAGCACUCAUGGUGCGGCCCUGUCAGACUACAGUGAAUCUGUGAAUUUUCCU
rnacentral:ribozyme from 1 species